AUUCCUCUAAAAACUUUGUCUGAGUGUGUUUGUAGUCUUGUUUUCUGUGAGUCUGUUGGAGAAAUAGAGGAACUAUUUGUCUUAUUCUGAUGGAGUGAUUUGUGUUUAAGGAAUAAUAGUUUUAUGAACAUUUGUUCCAGUAUUUAGAUGUCAGUGUUGACUCUGUAAGGUUUCUGGUUAGUCAGUAAACUUUAACUUCUAAUUUUAACUUGUAAUGAAUUUUUAACUUCUAAUAAAAGAUUUCAGACUAAAGUGUUUGAGAAUGAUGUUCAGCUCUGCAUUCAGUCGACUACUAAAUAAAAGUAGGCGAAAAUAAAUAAACAAAGAAUAAAAACAAUAAAUAAAAUAGUAAAGUAUUAUAUUUUAGUGUAUAUUCAUCAUGUAAACUGAGAGCUGAGCUCUGUUUUCCCCUCAUUACUGAGCACAGUGAGGCUGUGCUGUGUGAACAGUGUGGUGUUUUAGAGCAGGAGGUUUUUGUACAGUUGCUGAAUGAGUUUGUAUCACUGUGGAUGACUUUCGGUGGAGGAACCAAACUGUCAGUUGGACGUGACACGGCACCCACCCUCACGGUGCUGCCCCCGUCCAGCGUGGAGCAGGAUCAGGAAAAGGCCACUCUGGUCUGUGUGGGCAGCGGGGGCUUCCCCUCAGACUGGAAGCUGAGCUGGAAGGUGGGCGGUGACUCAUUGGAGUCGGGGGUCAGUCAUAGCCCUGCGCUUCUGCAGAAGAACGACGGCCUCUACAGCUGGAGCAGCACCCUGACCCUCAGCCAGCAGCAGUGGCUGAAGAACACAGUGACCUGUGAGGCCACCAAGGACUCCCAGCCUACCGUCCGCAAGACAGUGAGCGCAGACCAAUGCUCUGACCUGUGACCUCACAAAUGCACCUCCGCUUUGCUAAGAUCGGAUCAUUUAGCACAGCCGUCAGUUAGAUGUGUUAAAUGUGUUUCAGUGCUGAAAUGUGUGAAACUUUGCCUUAUAAAUAAAAGCUUUCCUUCAAAAACUGAAA